rnacentral:rRNA from 1 species
UUACCAGACUCCUACGGGAGGCAGCAGUGAGGAAUAUUGGUCAAUGGCCGGAAGGCUGAACCAGCCAUGCCGCGUGAAGGUCAGUGCCCUAUGGGCGUUAAACUUCUUUUGUGCGGGAGCAAUAAUGGUCACGUGUGGCCAGACGAGAGUACCGUACGAAUAAGCAUCGGCUAACUCCGUGCCAGCAGCCGCGGUAAUACGGAGGAUGCGAGCGUUAUCCGGAUUUAUUGGGUUUAAAGGGUGCGUAGGUGGUUAAUUAAGUCAGCGGUGAAAGUUUGUGGCUCAACCAUAAAAUUGCCGUUGAAACUGGUUGACUUGAGUAUAUUUGAGGUAGGCGGAAUGCGUGGUGUAGCGGUGAAAUGCAUAGAUAUCACGCAGAACUCCGAUUGCGAAGGCAGCAUACCGGCGCGCAACUGACGCUCAUGCACGAAAGCGUGGGUAUCGAACAGGAUUAGAUACCCGUGUAGG